rnacentral:tRNA from 1 species
CAAGAAAUAGUUUAAUGAAAAUAUUAAUUUUGGAGAUUAAUGAUAAAAUAAUAAUUUUUUUCUUGA